GGCGAGAUAGCUCAGCGGUUGAGAGCACUGACUGCUCUUCCAGAGGACCUGGGUUCAAUUCCCAGCACCU
rnacentral:tRNA from 1 species